ACAGAGAGGGGCCCCCAUAGCGCAGUGGCGGGCUGAAGGGCUCCUUGAGCAUGGCCAGAGUGGACGCCAAGGCUGAGGAGGCGCCGAGAGCCAGUGAGGGCUGCUAGCAUGUUGUCACCUCUCAAUACAUAAAACUACUGGAGGGUGGUUCCAAGAUGGCCAAAUAGGAACAGCUCCAGUCUACAGCUCCCAGCAUGAGUGAUGCAGAAGACGAAUGAUUUCUGCAUUUCCAACUCAGUAGAGAGCUGACUUUAGAGGGAUCAAGAAUAGCUUGCUGGAUGGAAGGAGGGGAAGAACCUAGAGCACCUUGUGAAACUGACAUUGAGGAAAUGGCAUGGUAAAACAGUAAAAAAAAAUUUCUUGUUACAUGGAGUGAGCUGCUUCAUCAAGCUUCUGUUGAAGGCAAUCCUACUGGAACUUUUAGUCAAAUGGAAUUUUUUAAAAAUCUCAUUUUAAGGUUUCCUGGCACUUGUAACUGAAAGAUCCUAACUGACACAGCAGGAAAGCGGAAGGGUGGCAACUGUUCAGUUAGGGCAUAGUUCUCAAGAUUGUCCUUUAGGAACAUGUAUCUUUGUGGGAUCUCAUCUAUCUCAUACAAGGAUUGCAUUGAUGCAUGUAGUGUUCAGUAGCAUGACUGACCAGAGUGGAAGUUCCUGGAAAUUGUAGCUAUCAUCAUGAUGAUGAUGGUGAUUAUGAUUGUUAAAGACUGGGUUAGGAAAUGAUUUUGUAAAUACAAUGAGAAGAAGAGCUUUAAAAUUUGCCUAAAUUUCCCCACUUAAUAUUAAAAAGGAGGUGUGCUAUUAAAUUUUAGGUUUUUCUCAAACUCUCACAGCUAUUUUUGUGGGUUUUUAGUGUAUUUCGAGCCCCCUUUUCCUUCAUCUCUAUUACUUUAUGAUAAUGUGAAGGCUCAUUGUUAUGUGAACGCACUGUUAUGAAACAAUACUCUCAGACAUAAGCAGCUUUCCUUAAACCAAAUCAAAAAUACUAUUUCUAUUGCCCAUGAUUUUCAGAGGACUUCAGAGGACCCUGAAGCAUGGGGUGCUGUGAAUGCCACUAACUAACUUCAUUAAUCACACUUAUAAUGUAAAGGGAGAAUUUUCUACUUUCUAUAAAUAAUCUAAAAUUUAAAAGUUUGUCAACUAAAACAUUUGUAAAAUUUGUAUUGAUAAAGUCCUACAAAUAAUAU
ensembl:lncRNA novel transcript